rnacentral:lncRNA from 1 species
AUGUUUGUGACACUGGAUAACGAUAUGGAUACUUCAUCUAGCCUGCAUGUGGAGGGCCACAUAAGUAGGACAAAGGCCUCGACAAUCUGCCUCCAUCGGGAACUGUCUUGCGCUGCAUGCUGUGCCUCGCCCCAUGUAAGGUUCAUCUCCUUCAGCUCAGCGGUCAAGGUUCAUCGCCAGGUUGUUUUUGGUCCCUUGUAUCUCCUCAUUUCCCAUAUGAACUGUGCUGCUUUGGAUGUCUCGAACAUCGUAGAGACAUUCCGUGCACCUAGGCAGAUCUUAGCUUUGGGCCUGUGCAGACUUCCUUCCCUCUCCGGACUUCCUGCUGGAGGCUUUGAUCAGAGGAGUUCAUGCUGAGUUCAUGCUGAGUUGGCUCAAGUCCACUGCUGGGUCUGUGAUGGUAGUAGUGAUCGUCUUAGUUUCCGUAACAUGUGUUUUUAAAGGAUGGGGUCAUUGACCCCAUGCCCAACCCACAACCUGGGGGACCAGGUGCUUAUUUUUGUCUGGCCUCGACCUGGGGUACCUGUCCGAUAUGGUUGAACCUGCCGGGGGCUAAUGGCGCAUUUCCACCGGAGGGUUUGGUUCGGUUCACCUCAGUCCGGAAGGGAGGGGGCAGUAUAGCCCACUCAGUUCCGAGGUUGCGUUUCCACCGCCGACAGUACCCUUAUGGUAGGCCGGAUGUCGAUCACCGCGGCAGCUACGUAAACAUCGUGACAUCAUAGCAGCGCGACACAGUGUAGCCUGCUCAAUAAAAAACAAUAGGCCUAAAUAAAAUAAAAACAAUAAAAACUGACCCAUCAAGCUCCCUCUGCACGUCUUCCUACCCAAGAAUGCAGAGGAAUGUCUCCACCUCCUUGUUCGCCCAAGUUAAAGUUUUGCGUGACAUGUCCAUUGUCCAGAAUACCUCGCGGGUAUGCCUACUGUUUGUUUGUUUUUAUCCCCAUGUCGCCCGGAAGUGAGACGAGAACGGCUCAGUCCGGGUCACGCCCACUUUUGGCGAUGGAAACACGAUCCGUGACGCAAACCUUUCAACGGUUCAACCGCACCUUUGCGAACCGAACCAAGCCGCAGCCGCACAGGCUCUGGGUGUUGAGGGGCUGUCAUGGUUGACACGCCUAUUCAACAUCGCGUGGGAGUCGGGUACAGUGCCAAAGGAGUGGCAAACCGGGGUGGUGGUUCCCCUUUUCAAAAAGGGGGACCAGAGAGUGUGUGCCAAUUACCGGGGUAUCACACUUCUCAGCCUCCCUGGUAAAGUCUACUCCAAGGUGCUGGAAAGGAGGGUUCGGCCGAUCGUCGAACCUCAGAUUGAAGAGGAACAAUGCGGUUUUCGCCCCGGACGUGGAACUACGGACCAGCUCUUCACUCUCGCAAGGAUCCUGGAGGGGGCCUGGGAGUAUGCCCAUCCGGUCUACAUGUGUUUUGUG